rnacentral:sRNA from 1 species
GUAUCUGAAGCCUGACGAGGAUGAGAACCUCCGGGGGCAAGAGGUUCGACCCGAGCGAAGCGAGAGAACGUUGCGCCAGCAACGGCCCGCAGUGGCAAGUCAUCCUCUGUCACCGGCCG